AGUAACACGUAUCCAACCUACCCUUUACUCGGGGAUAGCCUUUCGAAAGAAAGAUUAAUACCCGAUAGCAUAAUGAUUCCGCAUGGUUUCAUUAUUAAAGGAUUCCGGUAAAGGAUGGGGAUGCGUUCCAUUAGGUUGUUGGUGGGGUAACGGCCCACCAAGCCUUCGAUGGAUAGGGGUUCUGAGAGGAAGGUCCCCCACAUUGGAACUGAGACACGGUCCAAACUCCUACGGGAGGCAGCAUG
rnacentral:rRNA from 1 species